GAUGAACGCUGGCGGCGUGCUUAACACAUGCAAGUCGAACGGUGAACGAGGGAGCUUGCUCCCUCCGGAUCAGUGGCGAACGGGUGAGUAACACGUGAGCAAUCUGCCCUGGACUCUGGGAUAAGCGUUGGAAACGACGUCUAAUACCGGAUACGAGACGUGAAGGCAUCUUCAACGUCUGGAAAGAACUUCGGUCCAGGAUGAGCUCGCGGCCUAUCAGGUAGUUGGUGAGGUAAUGGCUCACCAAGCCUACGACGGGUAGCCGGCCUGAGAGGGUAACCGGCCACACUGGGAAUGAGACACGGCCAAGACUCCAACGGGAGGCAACAGUGGGGAAUAUUGCACAAUGGGCGAAGGCCUGAUGCAGCAACGCCGCGUGAGGGACGACGGCCUUCGGGUUGUAAACCUCUUUUAGCAGGAAAGAAGCGAAAGUGACGGUACCUGCAGAAAAAGCACCGGCUAACUACGUGCCAGCAGCCGCCGUAAAAC
rnacentral:rRNA from 1 species